AGAAUAUAGACUUUGGCUCUAGCAUCAUGUUAAAGUAAGAAUACUUCCCUGCUCGGGGAGAUGGCCGAGUGGACUAAAGCGGCGGAUUGCUAAUCCGUUGUACGAUCAUUCGUACCGAGGGUUCGAAUCCCUCUCUCCCCG
rnacentral:tRNA from 1 species